AUUAUACCGUGAAACUGCGAAUGGCUCAUUAAAUCAGUUAUCGUUUAUUUGAUAAUACCUUACUACUUGGAUAACCGUGGUAAUUCUAGAGCUAAUACAUGCUGAAAAUCCCGACUUCGGAAGGGAUGUGUUUAUUAGAUAAAAAACCAAUGCCCUUCGGGGCUUUUUGGUGAUUCAUGAUAACUUUACGGAUCGCAUAGCCUUGCGCUGGCGACGGUUCAUUCAAAUUUCUGCCCUAUCAACUUUCGAUGGUAAGGUAUUGGCUUACCAUGGUUUCAACGGGUAACGGGGAAUUAGGGUUCGAUUCCGGAGAGGGAGCCUGAGAAACGGCUACCACAUCCAAGGAAGGCAGCAGGCGCGCAAAUUACCCAAUCCCGACACGGGGAGGUAGUGACAAUAAAUACUGAUACAGGGCUCUUUUGGGUCUUGUAAUUGGAAUGAGUACAAUUUAAACCUCUUAACGAGGAACAAUUGGAGGGCAAGUCUGGUGCCAGCAGCCGCGGUAAUUCCAGCUCCAAUAGCGUAUAUUAAAGUUGUUGCAGUUAAAAAGCUCGUAGUUGAAACUUGGGCCUGGCUGGCGGGUCCGCCUCACCGCGUGCACUCGUCCGGCCGGGCCUUCCUUCUGAAGAACCUCAUGCCCUUCACUGGGCGUGCUGGGGAAUCAGGACUUUUACUUUGAAAAAAUUAGAGUGUUCAAAGCAGGCCUUUGCUCGAAUACGUUAGCAUGGAAUAAUAAAAUAGGGCGUGCGUUUCUAUUUUGUUGGUUUCUAGAGACGCCGCAAUGAUUAACAGGAACAGUCGGGGGCAUCAGUAUUCCGUUGUCAGAGGUGAAAUUCUUGGAUUUACGGAAGACUAACUACUGCGAAAGCAUUUGCCAAGGAUGUUUUCAUUAAUCAGUGAACGAAAGUUAGGGGAUCGAAGACGAUCAGAUACCGUCGUAGUCUUAACCGUAAACUAUGCCGACUAGGGAUCGGGCGAUGUUCUUUUUCUGACUCGCUCGGCACCUUACGAGAAAUCAAAGUUUUUGGGUUCUGGGGGGAUUAUGGUCGCAAGGCUGAAACUUAAAGAAAUUGACGGAAGGUCACCACCAGGCGUGGAGCCUGCGGCUUAAUUUGACUCAACACGGGGAAACUCACCAGGUCCAGAUGAAAUAAGGAUUGACAGAUUGAGAGCUCUUUCUUGAUUUUUCAGGUGGUGGUGCAUGGCCGUUCUUAGUUCGUGGGGUGACUUGUCUGCUUAAUUGCCAUAACGAGCGAGACCUUACUCUGCCAAAUAACCCCCCUAACUUU
rnacentral:rRNA from 1 species